AUUGAACGCUGGCGGCAGGCCUAACACAUGCAAGUCGAGCGGAGCGGCGGACGGGUGAGUAAUGCCUAGGAAUCUGCCUGGUAGCGGGGGAUAACGUCCGGAAACGGGAGCUAAUACCGCAUACUCUCAGAUUAGCAUAGGUCGGAUUAGCUAGUGGGUGGGGUAAAGGCCUACCAAGGCGACGAUCCGUAACUGGUGUGAGAGGACGAUCAGUCACACUGGAACUGAGACACGGGCCAGACUCCUACGGGAGGAAGCAGUGGGGAAUAUUGGACAAUGGGCGAAAGCCUGAUCCAGCCAUGCCGCGUGUGUGAUGAAGGUCUUCGGAUUGUAAAGUACUUUAAGUUGGGAAGCGGUACCAACAGAAUAAGCACCGGCUAACUUCGUGCCAGCAGCCGCGGUAAUUC
rnacentral:rRNA from 1 species